GGCCUAACACAUGCAAGUCGAGCGGUAGAGAGAAGCUUGCUUCUCUUGAGAGCGGCGGACGGGUGAGUAAUGCCUAGGAAUCUGCCUGGUAGUGGGGGAUAACGUUCGGAAACGGACGCUAAUACCGCAUACGUCCUACGGGAGAAAGCAGGGGACCUUUGGGCCUUGCGCUAUCAGAUGAGCCUAGGUCGGAUUAGCUAGUUGGUGAGGUAAUGGCUCACCAAGGCGACGAUCCGUAACUGGUCUGAGAGGAUGAUCAGUCACACUGGAACUGAGACACGGUCCAGACUCCUACGGGAGGCAGCAGUGGGGAAUAUUGGACAAUGGGCGAAAGCCUGAUCCAGCCAUGCCGCGUGUGUGAAGAAGGUCUUCGGAUUGUAAAGCACUUUAAGUUGGGAGGAAGGGCAGUUACCUAAUACGUGAUUGUUUUGACGUUACCGACAGAAUAAG
rnacentral:rRNA from 1 species